rnacentral:misc_RNA from 1 species
GAUGAAGAACGUAGCGAAAUGCGAUAAGUAGUGUGAAUUGCAGAAUUCAGUGAAUCAUCGAAUCUUUGAACGCACAUUGAGCCCCUUGGUAUUCCAUGGGGCAUGCCUGUUCGAGCGUCAUUUGUACCUUCAAGCUUUGCUUGGUGUUGGGUGUUUGUCUCGCCUUUGCGUGUAGACUCGCCUUAAAAUAAUUGGCAGCCGGCGUAUUGAUUUCGGAGCGCAGUACAUCUCGCGCUUUGCACUCAUAACGACAGCGUCCAAAAGUACAUUUUACACUCUUGACCUCGGAUCAGGUAGGGAUACCCGCUGAACUUAAGCAUAUCAAUAAGCGGAGGA